rnacentral:rRNA from 1 species
UACGUAGGGUGCGAGCGUUAAUCGGAAUUACUGGGCGUAAAGCGUGCGCAGGCGGUUUUGUAAGCCAGAUGUGAAAUCCCCGGGCUUAACCUGGGAAUGGCAUUUGGGACUGCAAGGCUCGAGUGCGGCAGAGGAGACUGGAAUUCCUGGUGUAGCAGUGAAAUGCGUAGAUAUCAGGAAGAACACCGAUGGCGAAGGCAGGUCUCUGGGCUGACACUGACGCUCAUGCACGAAAGCGUGGGGAGCAAACAGG